GGGGCUGUAGCUCAGUGGUAGAGCGUCUCAUUUGCAUUGAGAAGGUCUAGGGUUCAAUCCCCUACCGCUCCA